CUGGACCAUAAUGGAUCAGUAAUGAGUCAUUAGUGACUAAGGUUGUUCAGGGAAAAUAGGUGCUCUGACAGUGAGCCCACAGUGAGUUCCCUAGGGAGCUGUAUGAAGCCCGCUGCAGAGACAGCCUGCCUGAUGGUCAGAAAACUGCACAAACACGAGGAGCAGAAAAAGCAUCACACCCUUCAUUCCUCUGCACCAGCAGCCUCAGAAGUCAGCUAGCAACACUGAUGAAGGAUGAAGCUGAAAAUUCUCAGCUUCUAAUCAUGGUGUGGCCUUUCCGGUGACCAGUCCCCAUCCAGAGUCUCCUCCUCAGAGCAAAAA